rnacentral:piRNA from 1 species
UCCGAGAUCCAUGCGUCAUAUUCACAUAU